rnacentral:rRNA from 1 species
UGGGGAAUAUUGGACAAUGGGCGAAAGCCUGAUCCAGCCAUGCCGCGUGUGUGAAGAAGGUCUUCGGAUUGUAAAGCACUUUAAGUUGGGAGGAAGGGCAGUAAGCGAAUACCUUGCUGUUUUGACGUUACCGACAGAUUAAGCACCGGCUAACUCUGUGCCAGCAGCCGUGGUAAUACAGAGGGUGCAAGCGUUAAUCGGAAUUACUGGGCGUAAAGCGCGCGUAGGUGGUUCGUUAAGUUGAAUGUGAAAGCCCCGGGCUCAACCUGGGAACUGCAUCCAAAACUGGCGAGCUAGAGUAGGGCAGAGGGUGGUGGAAUUUCCUGUGUAGCGGUGAAAUGCGUAGAUAUAGGAAGGAACACCAGUGGCGAAGGCGACCACCUGGGCUCAUACUGACACUGAGGUGCGAAAGCGUGGGGAGCAAACAGG